UGGGGUUACAGGAGAGACACCAUGUGGUUAGGAGACCACUUCUGAGCAUGGUUGGCUGCUUUAUCCCCUGCCCCUCCGAGAUCCUGGCAGCCGCUUUACAGAAUCCCUAAAUGUUAUGUUUAUUGGUCAUUCUGGCUACCCAGACUUUAAACAUCCUUUCCCUUUGGAAAGAAGCAUCCAAAAGAAGGGAGGCAAGACUCCAUUUCCUACUUCAGAAGCCAAAGAGGGCAGAGAGUUUCUUUCUUUGGCGCAGCAGCUAGGGAACCAGCAUAUUACCCUGGGUUCAGCUGAUCAGUGGCCCCAGUAGGACAGGAAGACUGU
rnacentral:lncRNA from 1 species